rnacentral:lncRNA from 1 species
CCUACCCAGGGGACUUCUACACCUCCCAACAUGCAAAGGGAUGGUGACUGGCGAGCUGACGCUGGCCCGUGUGUCCAGCUGCGGGGGAUGGAAGAGUGUCAGGGUACCCGCACUCUAGGGUGUGGUGAGCCCAAGGUGGAGGGGCUUCCCAGGAGCCCGCUCUAACGGGAGGGGGCUGUAGGGCGCCCCCUGCAGGCACAGUUCCUUCUCUGCGUCCUGAAGGCACCACAGCCACCUUGGAGGGAGGAGCCCCAGGUGCCCCCUCAGCGCACCUGCUGUGCGUGGCUCUGUUGCCACCUGGCUCUGGUGACUUCGAGUGACUCAUGCUGCAGUCUCCUCAAUGUACCUGCCUCCCGGGCGACAUGGGCACCUGCAGACCGAGGAGGGGUCUGCCCGAGGUGAAGGUGGCGUGGGUUUGCCCCGAGGCAGGUCUGCAAGCAGGGGGAUGGCCUCAGUGCGCGGGUGUCACCUGCUCUGGGUGUCUCUGGGGGUGGAGGUGCUGAGUUCGUUUCCUGAGACAGGGAGAGCAACCCAGGGGUGCAGUGGUGACAGCAUUGCUGGGGUGGGGGUAGGGUGACCUCAACUCACCCCCCCAUGCCCAGCGAGUGAGCUGUGAUUGUGUGAGCAGUGUGGGAUACUGUGUUAAAGAGGGAGCACUCUGAGGGGUUCCCAGGGGGCUUGAAGCCCUGGCUCAGCUCACCCAAGACCCUCCAUUGUGAUCAGUGCCGCCCCCAGCGCCCCGACCUUCAGCCAGCUCUGAGAAAGCGAGGCUUGGUGCUUCCUUUAUUCCUGUGUCACUGUCCCCCUCCUGCUCCGCUGGCUCCCCCCCCACACACUUAAGUUCCUAUCUCAUUAUCAUUCUUUCAACAAACCUUAAACUAAAAAUAGCGAAGAGAUCACACAUUCUCUUCUUUAUUCCUAUCAAGGAGCUUAUCGUGUCCCUGUUCUCGGGAGGAGACACAGGCUCUGAGGGCUAGGGACUUGGCUGGGCUCGGCAUGCCUCCCUGCCUGCUGGGCACCAGGCCCUCGCCUGGGCUCCGGGCCACGAGGGUGAGGCAGAGCCAGGGCAGCCCACGGGGCUCACAGCCACAGGGAGGGACGGGCUGGGAGGGCGCCGGGUGCGUGGCUGAGCUCUGCACAAGGCCGUCCCAUCCACCUUCCUGCACGCCCUGCGGCGCCAGGGCUCGCAAGCAUGGAGCCCAGUGGGGCUUCUUCAGCAAUGAUGGGGUCCAGAGCUCUCAUUUAAAAAAAAAAGAUUUA